AUUGAACGCUGGCGGCAUGCUUUACACAUGCAAGUCGAACGGUAACAGGCCUUCGGGUGCUGAUGCUUGGCGAACGGGUGAGUAAUGCAUCGGAACGUGCCCAGCGGUGGGGGAUAACGCAGCGAAAGCUGUGCUAAUACCGCACGUGAUCUGAGGAUGAAAGCGGGGGACCAGGCAGCAAUGUUUGGCCUCGCGCCUUUGGAGCGGCCGAUGGUCGAUUAGGUGGUUGGUGGGGUAAAGGCCUACCAGGCGGACGAUCUGUAGCUGGUCUGAGAGGACGGCCAGCCACACAGAGACUGAGACACGACCCAGACACCGACGUGAGGCAGCAGUGGGGAAUGGUGGACGAUGGGCGCAAGCCUGAACCAGCAAUGCCGCGUGCGGGAAGAAGGCCUGCGGGUGGUAAACCGCUUUUGUACGGAACGAAAAGGCUCUGGCUAAUACCUGGGGCUGAGGGCGGAACCGUAAGAAGAAGCACCGGCAAACUACGG
rnacentral:rRNA from 1 species